UGGAAAACAGCUGGAGUUUUUACUUUUUCAGUUUCCAAGUUUCUCAUGCAGAGAGAUUAUAAGUGUGUGGGUGUAGUUCAAAAUAAGGCAAAGAAAGGAGUAAGGAGUAAUAGUUGUUAAAUGUAAAGCUAUUCUAUAUCCAAAUAAAGUUUAACUUCGUGAUGAUCGAAUUUUUGUGGUGAUGUUGGUGCAAUAGUGGUGACGGGGUUACCCAAUCUUAACAAUGGCGAAGAUGGGUUGCUCAGAUUUUUGUGGCGGUUGUGCUGAUGCUCAUGUGGGUGACCGGAUCUUGAUGGUGGCGGUGAAUCGGUGGUAGGGGUUAUCAGAUCGCUGUGGCGGCGGUGGUGAUGAUGAGCUGGGCGGAUUUUUAAAGUUUAGAUCUAGGGAUGUUUAUUAGCUCCUCCGCCGCAAUUGUUUGGUGCGGUGGUUGCUGCCGGCGGUGGUGAGAGAAGAAAUUUUAUCCGAUCACUGUGGCGGCGACGGUGAUGAUGAGGUGGCCAGAUGUUGGUUGUGGUGCUGAUUGGAUGGCCAAAUCUCUCUCUGAAGAUGUCAGAUGAAGAUCCAGUUUCGGUUACCACCAGAAGUUUUUUAUAAAAAAAACCUUUUUUCCUUUUUUUAUACUUUAGAUCUAUGGAUGUUUAACAGAUCCGCCGCCGUCGUUGUUUGGUGCGGUGGUUGCUGCCGGUGGUGGUGAGAAAAGAAAUUUUAUGUAUGUGUGUAUAAUUGUAUAUGAAGUGGGUGCUUAGUACCUUGUGCA